rnacentral:rRNA from 1 species
GUGUCAGCAGCCGCGGUAAUACAGAGGUCCCAAGCGUUGUUCGGAUUCAUUGGGCGUAAAGGGUGCGUAGGCGGCAGUGUAAGUUGGGCGUGAAAUCCUGGGGCUUAACCUCAGAAUUGCGUUCAAUACUGCAUUGCUAGGGCGCUGUAGAGGAGAUUGGAAUUUACGGUGUAGCAGUGAAAUGCGUAGAUAUCGUAAGGAAGACCAGUGGCGAAAGCGAAUCUCUGGGCAGCAGCCGACGCUGAGGCACGAAGGCCAGGGGAGCAAACGGGAUUAGAUACCCCCGUAGUCC